UACGGGGGGAGCAAGCGUUGUUCGGAUUUACUGGGCGUAAAGGGCGCGUAGGCGGUCAGCACAAGUCAGUUGUGAAAUCUCCGGGCUUAACUCGGAAAGGUCAACUGAUACUGUGCGACUAGAGUGCAGAAGGGGCAACUGGAAUUCUCGGUGUAGCGGUGAAAUGCGUAGAUAUCAGGAGGAACACCUGUGGCGAAAGCGGCUCACUGGACCAUUACUGACGCUGAUGCUCGAAAGCUAGGGGAGCAAACAGG
rnacentral:rRNA from 1 species